rnacentral:rRNA from 1 species
UACGGAGGGUGCAAACGUUGCUCGGAAUUAUUGGGCGUAAAGCGUGCGCAGGCGGUUUCGUAAGUCUGUCGUGAAAUCCCCGGGCUUAACCUGGGAAUGGCGAUGGAGACUGCGAGGCUAGAGUUUGGCAGAGGGGGGUAGAAUUCCACGUGUAGCAGUGAAAUGCGUAGAGAUGUGGAGGAACACCGAUGGCGAAGGCAGCCCCCUGGGUCAAAACUGACGCUCAUGCACGAAAGCGUGGGGAGCAAACAGG